rnacentral:rRNA from 1 species
UACGGAGGGGCUAGCGUUGUUCGGAAUUACUGGGCGUAAAGCGCACGUAGGCGGAUCAGUCAGUCAGAGGUGAAAUCCCGGAGCUCAACUUCGGAACUGCCUUUGAUACUGCUGAUCUAGAGUCCGGGAGAGGUGCAUGGAAUUCCGAGUGUAGAGGUGAAAUUCGUAGAUAUUCGGAGGAACACCAGAGGCGAAGGCGAUGCACUGGACCGGUACUGACGCUGAGGUGCGAAAGCGUGGGGAGCAAACAGG